rnacentral:rRNA from 1 species
UACGAGGGGUGCAAGCGUUGCUCGGAAUUAUUGGGCGUAAAGGGUAGGUAGGUGGUCUCAUUUGUCAGGGGUGAAAUCCUUGGGCUUAACUCAAGAAGUGCCCCUGAAACGGUGAGACUGGAGUCCUGGAGAGGUGAGUGGAAUUCCCGGUGUAGCGGUGAAAUGCGUAGAGAUCGGGAGGAACACCAGAGGCGAAGGCGGCUCACUGGACAGGUACUGACACUCAACUACGAAAGCGUGGGGAGCAAACAGG